GGGGAAUAUUGGACAAUGGGGGGAACCCUGAUCCAGCCAUGCCGCGUGUGUGAAGAAGGCCUUUUGGUUGUAAAGCACUUUAAGCGAGGAGGAGGCUACUCUAGUUAAUACCUAGAGAUAGUGGACGUUACUCGCAGAAUAAGCACCGGCUAACUCUGUGCCAGCAGCCGCGGUAAUACAGAGGGUGCGAGCGUUAAUCGGAUUUACUGGGCGUAAAGCGUGCGUAGGCGGCUGAUUAAGUCGGAUGUGAAAUCCCUGAGCUUAACUUAGGAAUUGCAUUCGAUACUGGUCAGCUAGAGUAUGGGAGAGGAUGGUAGAAUUCCAGGUGUAGCGGUGAAAUGCGUAGAGAUCUGGAGGAAUACCGAUGGCGAAGGCAGCCAUCUGGCCUAAUACUGACGCUGAGGUACGAAAGCAUGGGGAGCAAAC
rnacentral:rRNA from 1 species